rnacentral:lncRNA from 1 species
CCCGGCCUCCACUCCUCAGCACCACCUGGUGGCAGACCCCUCCUCUCACCUGCAUAGCUCUUGCAGGUUUGUGUUCCAUCUCCACCACUCCGAAGCUGUGUGACCUUGGAUAAAUCACUCCACCUCUCUGCUCCUGUCUCCUCAUUGUUAAGUAGAGGGAACACUGUCACCCUGUCCACCUCUUGAGACUAUGGGGAGGAUUAACAAGAGAAUGAGGGGCAAUGUGUUGGAAACUGUAAAGGGCUGUCCACUUUGCAGGAGACUUAAUAGUCACUGUGUUCCUGGGGCCCUGCGAUCAAGGCGGAGAAUAAAAAGGAAGCAAAAAUCCCCCAGGCCUCUCCCUCUGACCCUUUCUCCGGCAGGGCUGUUCCCAGACCCCUGACCCACUUCUCCUCCCUCCUUCCCCCAUCCCUCCGAGUCUCAGCGGGCCAUUCUCCUCCUCCAUCCAUCACCUGAGACUAAA